rnacentral:rRNA from 1 species
GUACGCCUACGGGACGCAGCAGUGAGGAAUAUUGGUCAAUGGCCGAGAGGCUGAACCAGCCAAGUCGCGUGAGGGAAGACGGCCCUACGGGUUGUAAACCUCUUUUGUCGGGGGGCAAAACGAGUCACGUGUGACUCAUUGAGAGUACCCGAAGAAAAAGCAUCGGCUAACUCCGUGCCAGCAGCCGCGGUAAUACGGAGGAUGCGAGCGUUAUCCGGAUUUAUUGGGUUUAAAGGGUGCGCAGGCGGAGGUGCAAGUCAGCGGUCAAAUUGCGGGGCUCAACCCCGUACUGCCGUUGAAACUAC